GAUGAACGCUGGCGGCGUGCCUAACACAUGCAAGUCGAACGGACUUAGAUGAAACCUAGUGAUUCUAAGUUAGUGGCGGACGGGUGAGUAACGCGUGGGUAACCUGCCUCACACUGGGGGAUAACAGUUAGAAAUGACUGCUAAUACCGCAUAAGUGCACAGUAUCGCAUGAUACAGUGUAAAAAACUCCGGUGGUGUGAGAUGGACCCGCGUCUGAUUAGCUAGUUGGCAGGGUAACGGCCUACCAAGGCGACGAUCAGUAGCCGACCUGAGAGGGUGACCGGCCACAUUGGGACUGAGACACGGCCCAAACUCCUACGGGAGGCAGCAGUGGGGAAUAUUGCACAAUGGGCGAAAGCCUGAUGCAGCGACGCCGCGUGAGUGAAGAAGUAUUUCGGUAUGUAAAGUUCUAUCAGCAGGGAAGAUAAUGACGGUACCUGACUAAGAAGCACCGGCUAAAAUACGUG
rnacentral:rRNA from 1 species